AUUCAAGACCUCUGGAAGAGCAGCCAGUGCUCUUUAUCUCUGAGUCAUAUCUCCAGACCUGCAUUGUUUUCUAUGUUUCUAUUUUAUUGAUUUCAGCCCUCAAUUUUACUAUCUUGCCAUCUACUCCUUCUGGGGGACUGAAGUGGCAGGCUUAUGGACCUGAGUACAGAGCAGCUGCUAUGACAGCAGAGUGGCCCACACACCAAGCUGUGGAAGUGGUGCAACAUCUGGAUGUUUUGCUGGCCGCAGAAGAAAGCAAGCCACAGAAGCAGGGCAACUUCAGGAAUCAGGCAACCCUGACAGUCAGUGGAAGAGGUGGAGCCCCAGCAAGCCCCAAAGCAAUGACAAAUAACAGGGGCAGAACUGAUGGGUCAGCAGGCAGAUCUAGAAAUGCAGGGAUGUGGCCAGAGGGCUUUACUGACAGCUGCAGAGAAGUCAGGGCUGCGAGAGCAGCAGAGGCAGCAGCAGCAGCUGAAGGAACAGUGGUAGCUGUUUUCCUAGUGAUGUCAUCCAUGAAUGUUGUCAUUGCCACGAAUGUGGCCACAGAAUGCUGUAGUGCUAGCUACUGUAAAGGCUACUCCCCAGGCCAACACAGGAACUGUAACAGUGUUAAGUGACCUGGGACCCAAGGCCUGCAAAAAUGUUAUUCCAUCAGAGGCCACUACCUACCACUGCUCCCACCUGUCUGUCACAUCUCUGGCUGCCAUCAAAUGGCAAGAGCUAUACAAUCUCCUGAACACCAGCAGUUAAAAACAUUCUCUGUGACUGCCCAUGCCUUGUGUAUUAGUCAGCAUUCUCUAGAGGAACAGAACUUACAGAAUGAAUGUCUCUCUAUAUAUAGAAAGGGGAUUUGUUAAAAUGACUUACAGGCUGUGGUCCAGCUAAUCCAACAAUGCCUACCUAUGAACAGAAGGUCCAAGAGUUCAGUAGUUGUUCAGUACAUGGGGCAGGAUGUCUUAGCUGGACUUCAGAAUAUGAUGGAAUCUCAAAUAGGUAGGCUCUAAUGUCAGUGAGGGAAUGGACUUGCCAGUGAGAGUGAGCAGGCAGGAGGUGGGGGAGGGGAGGGAGAGUCCUUCUUCCGUGUCCCUUAUAUAGGCUUCCAGCAGGAGGUGUGGUCCAGCUAAAAGGUACAUCCCCCCACUUCAAAAGAUCUAAAUCAGUGGUUCUCAAGCUGUGGUUCCCUAUCUGAGACCAUCAGAAAACACAUGUAUUUAUGCUACAAUUAAUAGAUUAUGGUUGUGAAGUAGCAAUGAAAAUAAUUUUAUGGGUGGGGGUCACCACUACACGAGAAACUAUAUUAAAGUUUGCAUCAUUAGGAAGUUUGAGAACCGCCUGUCUAGAUUGAAGAUAAACCUAUCUUCCUACCUCAAAGAUCCAGAUCAGAAGUAGAGUUUUCCACUUCAAAUAUUUUAAUUAAGAAAAAAAUCCCUCACAGGUGUGCCCAGUCAUUCGGGUUUUAAUUAAUUCCAGAUGUAGUGAAGUUGAUAACUAAGAACAGCUGUCACAGCUUUUAUUCUGUUAACAGCAAAGGACCUCUGCUGUGGGAUAAUCCUUCUGUACUCUGUGAAUGUGUAUUACUCUAACCGAUUGGUAAUAAAGCUGAUUUGGCUUAUAGCAAGGCAGAAUAAGACUAGGCAGGAAAGUCAAACUGAAUAUACAGAGAGGAAGAGGGGUGGGGUGAGAGAUAUCCAAGCAGCCGCCGGGG
ensembl:lncRNA